AGCUCUCUGGCAGCCACAUCUGGAGAGCCCAGUGGCGUUUCGGCCCUGGUAAACAGCUUGCAGGAAAAAUGCGCCUCACAUUCCCGGGCGGAGACCCCCAGCCCCCUGUGGGCCGCAGCUGCCGUGGGAACUGGACAACUUGUGUGCGGAGCCGGUGCGCUGGGACUCAGGCUGCUCCUCCUCCUUCUCUUGCAGACAUCCGGGGAGUCCUAGGGCUGAAGGUUCCGAGCAGUGGCUGCAAAGAAACAGAACUGGGAAUUCAGCCCCCUGAGUCCUUGCAUUCUGCAUCCCUACGGUGUUCAUCGGAAUGAAGACCUCAAUGCACAAAAAGUCAGAUGUACAGAGAGGAGGAGAGACAGAG